GUAGGUGGCAAGCGUUGUCCGGAAUUAUUGGGCGUAAAGCGCGCGCAGGCGGUUCUUUAAGUCUGAUGUGAAAGCCCACGGCUCAACCGUGGAGGGUCAUUGGAAACUGGAGAACUUGAGUACAGAAGAGGAAAGCGGAAUUCCACGUGUAGCGGUGAAAUGCGUAGAGAUGUGGAGGAACACCAGUGGCGAAGGCGGCUUUCUGGUCUGUAACUGACGCUGAGGCGCGAAAGCGUGGGGAGCAAACAGGGAUUAGAUACCCUGGUAGUCCACGCCGUAAACGAUGAGUGCUAAGUGUUAGGGGGUUCCCGCCCCUUAGUGCUGCAGCUAACGCAUUAAGCAUCCGCCUGGGGAUACGGCCGCAAGGCUG
rnacentral:rRNA from 1 species